GCCGGGGUGGCGGAACUGGUAGACGCGCCUGACUCAAAAUCAGGUGGCCAUUGGUCGUGCGAGUUCGACUCUCGCCCUCGGCACCA
rnacentral:tRNA from 2 species